rnacentral:lncRNA from 1 species
GUGACUCCUGUCUCCGAUUGGCCGAGGGUUUUGCCUGGAGGGCGGGCAUUUAGAGGGUUGGUGACUUGGCUGAAGAAGACAAGCCGGAGGGGGCGGUGUGUGCCUUGGUUGCGCGCAUGCGCAGGGUCCACGUGCGUCUGCUCGCCAGGACUGUGGCCUGGUAGGCGUUUGAACUUUCAGGAAAGAAAGAGACCGUAUUAAGCCAGCUGUGUUCAAACUUGUUCCUCCUGCCCUGCUCUUUUCUGUACCUGCAUCCUCUCUGGUCUGGCCCCUGUUUUCUUCUGAACAGGAUGCUUUAAUUAGCCCUUGUAGUUCCAUUUGUGGAAGGGUCUUUAAUGAGCCAGUAGAUAAAUGAAAGGAAACUGAUUUUGAACUUCAUCCUGGUCUAGAUGUGUCUACCACGGUCAGGUUAGAUAAAUCUGACCUUCUGACGCUAGCUCUUGUGAGAUGGAAAAUGGCUGGCAAUGUGAUUUAGUGGUACAGAGUUUGACACAUCAGCGCUGUGUUCCAUUCACAACGUCACACACACCCUCCUUUCUCCUGGGUCUGCACCCUAUCUGCACCUGCUGAUACAUCUCUGGCCUAGAAAGAUUUUUGUUUGCUUAGGGGAGGUUAUUUCUUGUGAGACUGGCCUCACAUAUCCCAGGCUGCUCUGAAUGCCAUACAUAGAAAAGAUAACCAAUUUCUGAUCUUCCUGUCUCUACCUCCCAAGUGCUGAGAGUACAGACAUGCUCUGCCUGUAGUAUGUGAUCCUGGGGAUUUCCGAUCUUGCUACUCAGGCUCUUUACCAACUGAACAAUGACCCAACACAGAUUUAAAAAAAAAAAAUACAUUAAUACAGCUAGAAAUCAUUCUGCCUUCUGGAGUGUGAGUGGUAGUAGCUACAGUUUAGCUUUGGGGCCUAUCUUGGGUCUGAGGGCAGAGAAAAGAACCACAAGACAUAGAAAUGAGAACCAAAAAUACCCGGUUUCCACCUGACUUGACUUUGGGGCCCUGAGAAUCAAAUGUAUGCUUCUCUAUGAGAAUUGUGGCCUAGGUAUACUUUUAAAUGUCUGCUUCCUCUUCAGGGUAGAGGAGAAAGCCGUGACAACCACUGAGGAAAUGACUCAGCCAGUAAAUGGAGAGAUGCCUUUUCCAUACCAGUUCCCCCUCGUCUUCACUUAGAAGUCCUGCCCUCCUCAUGGCUGUUGAAGAACUGAGUUCUGAAUAUAUCGAAAGAUAUGUCAAGACCCUUGUCUCAGUUAAGGUUUCUACGGCUGUGACAAACACCAUGACCAAAAGGCCCCAUAUCCAAAGCAUCCUUCAGCUCUUGUGGGAAACUUCGCGACCAUCUUCCAGACCUGUCCUUGCUGCUGGGAGAGAGGAAGUGACAACAGGCCACUCCACGGCGUUUCAGCAAAUCUGGGAGAGGUUUUGUUGUGUGUCUCUUGGUGAGAUAGGGUCUCUCUCAUAUGUGUAUAAAGUGAGGACAUGACCCCUCCAGGUCAGUAGGUCAAUGCCAUUGUCAUUUCCCCCACCCUGAGAAGAUCAGGGAAGGGCCAGGAAUGGAAGGACACAGAGAAAUCUUCCUAUGUCACGGUGAAGGUGCCCACACUAGCCUGCAUGAGUAUGUGCUGCAGGCACUUCCUCCCUGAAUCAAGCCUGCCUCUACACCCAGAGACUGCUGAUGAAGAGACACCUGACCCAGAGACACCAAUGAGGAAAGGACAAUGCAGCAGAGUCAGCCACCUGAGCCAAUAGAACCUUGGGAGGGGGUAUAAAGUGGCUCAUUGACUCUUCCUGCUGCCUGUGGAUCCAGAUGUAGAACCCUCAAAUACUCCAGCACCAUGUUGCCUGCAUGCUGCCAUGCUCCCUACUGUGAUGACAAUGGACUAAACCUCUGAAACGGUAAGCCAGCCCCAAUUAAACGCUUUCCUUUAUAAGACUUGCUGUGGUCAUGGUGUCUCUUCAAAACAAUAGAAACUCAAACUAAGACACUGACCUUAGAAUCAGAACUCCUGAUUCUCUUGCUCUUACCUGUACUGAAAUUACCGUCUUGUGCCACAAUGCUCA